rnacentral:lncRNA from 1 species
CAAAAAUAGGUGUUAUACCUAAGUUUUCAGUAACUGCAGCAUUUGGUGCAUAUUUUCCUACUACGAGAAAACAAAUCUACAAGCCCUAUUGUGUAUGGAGUUAAUACAGGAAUAUGUUUUUAGACCCCAUAUACCUGCUCCAUAUUCUAUUAUAGGACAAAACAAAGUUUCAUAUAAUUUUACAAAUACAACGAAACAAACACCACC